GUAGAGCGGUCAGAGGAGAGGAGGUGGAGCAGCAGGCCAAGAUCCAUCCAUCUUCACCUCCCACCCAACAAAGCCAACGUGGUGAGUGAGCUCCCCCCAAUCGAAUUGACCCCCACAUCUGAAAUGGAUGCCAUGACGUUUUGGUUCAUUUUUGGCUCGCCACUUCUGAAGGAAAGUGCAGCAAACUGUGCGUGUGUGCAUCAAAUUGGUGCAGCAAAUUAACUGAACCAGAUUAAUAUGUACCAUACCACGUAUUUACAAGAUUUGAAUUGCAGUCCUGGCUCCCUGUAGGAACAAAUAAGUUCACCGUAAUACUAGAUGAUUGUUACUAUGAAUUUUGUUGCGAUUUCCUUUAAUCAACUUGUUUAACAAGAGCUGCUGACGUUUUGGCUCACCAAAAAGGACCAAAUGUUGGCCCAUCUAUUUACUGUGCGGCUGAUAGAAUUUCUAUACAUGGAGGAUUUGUUAAUUGAUCAGUUAUGCAAUAUAUAAUCCUUCAUAUAUACUGUACUAGGUGCUACCGAAGUAAAUCAUCUCUCUUUCGUUCUUUGAUGUAUUAUGCCAAUGACAUAAUCAGUACUCAAGGUUAUUGCUCUGCAUAUCAAAUUUCAUUCCCUUCCUGAUGAGGCUCGGGGCGGUCGUCGCGGCGGCCUCUUCAGCGGCGUCGCCCGACGGGCUCCAUGCACGUGUGAUGGAUGCUGGUUCCUAAGGUGAGCGCGAUGCCGAGGAGAGAUGGCAUCGCGGACGGCAUCCAAGGACAUCAUCACGCUCAACGGCUCAGCCGCCAUCGUCAUCAAGUUCUUUGAUUACGCAGCGAACAGGUGUGCGAUGGGCCGGCAAACAGCAGUGCCGUCUCUAUCCCCGAUGCUGCAUCUUGGUGGGGCUAAUGGCCCUGCGCGCGGUGCGCCCUGGGCGGUGCGGACUGCAACUGCGCGUAGGGCCGCCACAGCUGCUUUCUCAAGGCGGCGUGCGGACUGCCUGAAAAACAGUGACUUUGUUAUCCAAGACCAAUGAUUAUGCUCUUGGGUCAAUAUUCAUGCUAAUCAUCAUUUAUUAAGCAACUGCACCUACAAUAUUAAUAAUGUCAUCCGGUGGAAUCAUGUGUUGCUGCUAAUCAGGUUUGGAAUUGAAGGAGAGCCCUGGCGUUGUUCAAGUCCUGGAAACAGCCUCUUACAGAAAUGUAGGGAAAGGCUUCGUACAAUAGACCCAAAGUGGUCGGACCCUUCCCCGGACCCUGCACAAGCGGGAGCUACAUGCACCGGGCUGCCCCCCUCUAUUUGAGGUUUGGGAUUGGGCAGUGAUGAGCUUGUCUCUCAUAUCAUUUUUCUCUUGUCUACAUUUAACUUGAUGUAUGGAAGAAUUUCUUAUCUCAGUGAUACCAAUCUAUCAAUAUGUCCAUGCAGUUGUAGCUCUAUUAUUUUCCUUCUCUAUGUAGUUUCUUUGUACUAUUUCAUAUGUGAGUUAACUAUCUUGUUGAAUAUUUAUAUUUAUUUUCUUUUUAGAUUGUA